GCCCGGAUGGCGAAAUUGGUAGACGCAAGAGACUUAAAAUCUCUCGGUGGCAACACCGUGCCGGUUCGACCCCGGCUCCGGGCACCA
rnacentral:tRNA from 1 species